GAUGAACGCUAGCUACAGGCUUAACACAUGCAAGUCGAGGGGAAACGACAUCGAAAGCUUGCUUUUGAUGGGCGUCGACCGGCGCACGGGUGAGUAACGCGUAUCCAACCUGCCCACCACUUGGGGAUAACCUUGCGAAAGUAAGACUAAUACCCAAUGACGUCUCUAGAAGACAUCUGAAAGAGAUUAAAGAUUUAUCGGUGAUGGAUGGGGAUGCGUCUGAUUAGCUUGUUGGCGGGGUAACGGCCCACCAAGGCGACGAUCAGUAGGGGUUCUGAGAGGAAGGUCCCCCACAUUGGAACUGAGACACGGUCCAAACUCCUACGGGAGGCAGCAGUGAGGAAUAUUGGUCAAUGGACGAGAGUCUGAACCAGCCAAGUAGCGUGCAGGAUGACGGCCCUAUGGGUUGUAAACUGCUUUUAUAAGGGAAUAAAGUGAGUCUCGUGAGACUUUUUGCAUGUACCUUAUGAAUAAGAACCGGCUAAUUCCGUG
rnacentral:rRNA from 1 species